CCCGUUUUGGCACUAGAUAUGUUAAAAUUGGAACAAUGCAAAGAAGAUGAGACAUUAUCCUUGAACAAAGGUGAUAUACAAAUCUGUGAAGUGGUCCAUGUGUUU